GCUUAGCCUAGCAGUUUUGGGGUCAUGCCCUUUGACUUCCUUAUAGCUUAAGCUGGGUAUGUGAUCUGCUCGCUUACACAUAAUGGCGAUUCAACUCCGUUCUGUUCCCCUUCAACUCAAGGAUCUCCAAAUCUUUGGAAAAGGUUUGGAGAGCUUUGGUGAUUCAGGCAGUCCCCGGUGGCUGCAGCAGGGACCUGCAGCCGACUCCGAGCUGGACGUUUAUCUCCACCCGUCAGCAGAGAGCCGAUAAUCCCGGCUCACUUCACCCAGACAGAUAAGCGCAUGUGAGGAUCCGCCAUCACUGCUGCCCUGCUUGCUGCCGACAACUCCUGCCUCCCUGAAAACUGCUGAGAAUUCUACCCUAAAGUCAUGUGAGAGGCAAGGAUCUUUGUGGGUAACGAAUUGGUCUGAACUGAUGAAGAAAGCUUUGCAUCCCAAAGUUUGUCUAAUUUUAUGUCAGCCGUGCAGUUGGUCCAAUAAAAGAUAGCACCCGCAAAGAUCCUGGCCUCUCGUGAUUCCUGGAUCAUCCACUCUACAACAUCACUCCAGUAGUCCCUAACUCAGAUGCUUAUCACUGCAAAACCUCCAGUCCCAACAAAACCUGAUUGGCUUUUCCGUAUAAUCAGAAAAUCCCUCCAUGGAGAUACCCCUGCCCCCAAAUUGUAUAUAUGGUGGCAAUGCUAAGUGUUACUGAACAGCAAACAGAGCACAAGAAGAAGAUACCGCAGGGUGAUUCAACUGCACCAGCACAUAACUGAGAAAGAGAUAGGAACCGCUACAAAACACAGUGAAACAGGGACAAAGUGUGGGCCUGGCAAGCUGGGUCCAGCAGCAUCCCUCCCCUGCUUCUCUUGAGUUAUGGUUGCUAAUAUGCAACCUUUAAUGAGUGGACAGGUCAGGAUCCAUGCCUGCUCUAACACUGUGGAAAAAACAAGCCAUGCUUUCUUUCCCAGGGUACCAAACUGCUUUUACUGCAAAAGGAAAAACAAAUUUCAAAGUCUGUCACAAUGGUUAAGCUUGUUGUAGUCCAGGGGGACUACAAGUAGCUGCCCGGCAAACUCUAAAUCAGUGAUUCUGUACCAGGCUGCCACAGCACCGUGGCUGCUGUGAGACCCUUUUCAGGCUGCUCUGCAGUAUCAGCAUUGUUAGGUGUGCAGGCACUGAUACGACGCACAAGAUAGAAAGCUUUGGUGACCCUUUGUUCCUAUGGGUUUGCUGUUUGUUUGCCUGUCUCUCCUAGCAAUGAUCCACUCCCUGUUCUCUCCCCUCUCUUCCCCCCCCUUGUCUAAUGCAUAUCCUUUCACAGCAUCUGAAGUAAGUUGAAAUUCACAAAAUCGUCUAUCUAUCUAUCUAUCUAUCUAUCUAUCUAUCUAUCUAUCUAUCUAUCUAUCUAUCUAUCUAUCUAUCCACUUUGGUUAAUCUAUAAGUGCAAACCGAUCCUGCCUUCUACUUGACUUCAGACUAAUGCUGUUAACUACAUCUUACAUAGUAAACCCAGAGAUUUCCAAUAGGGAUCAUUGUCAUACCAUCCUUCCCUGCCAUGGGCUUGCUAAAUUCUUUGCAACAGGAGAAUUGUUCUAGCAUUUUUCCGUAGUCAAAAAAAGAGUGAAAGCAAAGAGCUGGUGUUUGCUGAGGGGGGCCUUGAAUCUAUCAAGAGGGACCUGGAGUCUAAAAAGGUUGAAAACCACUGCUCUAAAUUCUCAUGGUCACUACUAUAAUCCCCUAAAGUGGUUACCCAGUGCUUCCCUUACAAGCAGCUAUGGGCGGGGAGGAUACACUUUGCAAAACAUCACUGCCAAAACAGACACUCCAACCUUAUAUCACUUCUAUAUCCAUUCAUGUUCCAGUUUCCUCAUUUUCUCUUGACAAUCAAUUACUGAAAUCUCUUCAAAUUGUCUUCAAUAGCCAAGGAAGUUAAUUGGAUGCUUUAACCAAGUAGAAUAGAUACCUUCCUGUUAUGCAUUCUCUGUAUUGUGUAUCCUUUAUUGGUUAGUGAUAUUUAUAUCUGGAGAUUUUUAAUAAAGUUUGCUUUUGCACUCA